rnacentral:tRNA from 2 species
GGCGGGGUAGCUCAGCUGGUUAGAGCGCACGACUCAUAAUCGUGAGGUCGCGGGUUCGAGUCCCGCCCCCGCUA